rnacentral:rRNA from 1 species
AGGACGAACGCUGGCGGCGUGCUUAACACAUGCAAGUCGAACGGGCGAUUUAAGCUUGCUUAGAUGAGCCUAGUGGCAAACGGGUGAGUAACGCGUAGGCAACCUGCCUCUAAGAUGGGGACAACAGUCCGAAAGGACUGCUAAUACCGAAUGUUGUGAGUUUUCCGCAUGGAGAAUUCAUUAAAGAUGGCCUCUACUUGUAAGCUAUCACUUAGAGAUGGGCCUGCGUCUGAUUAGCUAGUUGGUGGGGUAACGGCCCACCAAGGCGACGAUCAGUAGCCGGUCUGAGAGGAUGAACGGCCACAUUGGGACUGAGACACGGCCCAGACUCCUACGGGAGGCAGCAGUGGGGAAUCUUCCGCAAUGGGCGAAAGCCUGACGGAGCAACGCCGCCGUGAGUGAAGAAGGUCUUCGGAUCGUAAAGCUCUGUCGAAGGGGACGAACGUGGGUUCUAUCAACAACGGAACCUAAUGACGGUACCUUUCAAGAAAGCCACGGCUAACUACGUGCCAGCCGCCGC